AUUGAACGCUGGCGGCAGGCCUAACACAUGCAAGUCGAACGAGUGGCGGACGGGUGAGUAAUGUCUGGGAAACUGCCCGAUGGAGGGGGAUAACUACUGGAAACGGUAGCUCAUACCGCAUACCAUCGGAUGUGCCCAGAUGGGAUUAGCUAGUAGGUGGGGUAAAGGCUCACCUAGGAGACGAUCCCUAGCUGGUAUGAGAGGAUGACCAGCCACACUGGAACUGAGACACGGUCCAGACUCCUACGGGAGGCAGCAGUGGGGAAUAUUGCACAAUGGGCGAAAGCCUGAUGCAGCCAUGCCGCGUGUAUGAAGAAGGCCUUCGGGUUGUAAAGUACUUUCAGCGAGGAGGCGUUACUCGCAGAAGAAGCACCGGCUAACUCCGUGCCAGCCGCCGCGGUAAUAC
rnacentral:rRNA from 1 species